rnacentral:rRNA from 1 species
UACGGAGGGUGCAAGCGUUAUCCGGAUUCACUGGGUUUAAAGGGUGCGUAGGUGGAUCUGUAAGUCCGUGGUGAAAUCUCCGAGCUUAACUUGGAAACUGCCAUGGAUACUAUAGGUCUUGAAUACUGUGGAGGUUAGCGGAAUAUGUCAUGUAGCGGUGAAAUGCUUAGAUAUGGCAUAGAACACCAAUUGCGAAGGCAGCUGGCUACACAAAUAUUGACACUGAUGCACGAAAGCGUGGGGAUCAAACAGG